rnacentral:rRNA from 1 species
UGGGGAAUCUUAGACAAUGGGGGAAACCCUGAUCUAGCCAUGCCGCGUGUGUGAUGAAGGCCUUAGGGUCGUAAAGCACUUUCGCCAGGGAAGAUAAUGACGGUACCUGGUAAAGAAACCCCGGCUAACUCCGUGCCAGCAGCCGCGGUAAUACGGAGGGGGUUAGCGUUGUUCGGAAUUACUGGGCGUAAAGCGCGCGUAGGCGGAUCGGAAAGUUGGGGGUGAAAUCCCGGGGCUCAACCCCGGAACUGCCUCCAAAACUAUCGGUCUUGAGUUCGAGAGAGGUGAGUGGAAUUCCGAGUGUAGAGGUGAAAUUCGUAGAUAUUCGGAGGAACACCAGUGGCGAAGGCGGCUCACUGGCUCGAUACUGACGCUGAGGUGCGAAAGCGUGGGGAGCAAACAGGAUUAGAUACCCCCGUAGUCC